rnacentral:tRNA from 1 species
GUGCCGGUGGUGUAAUGGUGCUCUACACUAGUGGUGUAGAGCAUUCUCGCCCGGUCAGCAGGAGGUGCGGGUUCGAGUCCCGCCUGGCGCU